CCCCUGAAACGCUGUCUGAAGUUGCAGUCUGAGACCUAUAACGAAAUUAGUUAAAAAUUUCAACAACGGAUCUCUUGGUUCCGGCAUCGAUGAAGAACGCAGCGAAAUGCGAUAACUAAUGUGAAUUGCAGAAUUCAGUGAAUCAUCGAGUCUUUGAACGCACAUUGCGCCCUCUGGUAUUCCGGAGGGCAUGCCUGUCCGAGCGUCAUUGCUGCCCUCAAGCCCGGCUUGUGUGUUGGGCCCCGUCCCCCCCGCCGGGGGGACGGGCCCGAAAGGCAGCGGCGGCACCGCGUCCGGUCCUCGAGCGUAUGGGGCUUCGUCACCCGCUCUAGUAGGCCCGGCCGGCGCCAGACGACCCCCAACCUUUAAUUAUCUCAGGUUGACCUCGGAUCAG
rnacentral:rRNA from 1 species